UUAUGUGAUCGUCUCUCGCAUAUCAAUAAGCGGAGGAAAAGAAACUAACAAGGAUUCCCCUAGUAACGGCGAGUGAAGCGGGAAGAGCUCAAAUUUGAAAUCUUAAAGGGUUUCCCUUUACGAAUUGUAGUUUAAAGAAGUGUUUUCUGUUGAGGUUUUGGUAAAAGUUCUUUGGAAUAGGACAUCAUAGAGGGUGAGAAUCCCGUAUUUGACCUUUACUUUCAACUUUGUGAUACACUUUCAAAGAGUCGGAUUGUUUGGGAAUGCAGUCCAAAAUGGGUGGUAAAUUUCAUCUAAAGCUAAAUAUUGGCGAGAGACCGAUAGCGAACAAGUACCGUGAGGGAAAGAUGAAAAGAACCUUGAAAAGAGAGUUAAACAGUACGUGAAAUUGUCAAAAGGGAAGCGUUUGACACCAGUGUUGUUUUUCUGAAAAUCAAUUAAAGAACUGUUUAUGCUAAGCUGUUUAGACUUUAUCAGCUAUCUGUUUAGUUUUGAGCUUUUCUUUAAUGCACUUUUCAGUUAACAAGUCAACAUCAAUUUCUUUUGCUGUAAAAAAGCUUGAGGAAGGUGGCUUGAGAUUCGUCUUAAGUGUUUAUAGCCUCUUGCCUAUGCAGUCGGAGAGAUUGAGGUCCGCAGCGUAGAUCCUUCGGGGCUAAAUGCAUUUGUGCUAAGUUAUAACAUUUUAUAGACAACUUGUUGACUAUGAUUUGUCUUGUAGCUUACUCGCUUAUGUUAUUUUACCUACGCUUAGGAUGUUGACACACGCGCGUGCUCG
rnacentral:rRNA from 1 species